GAUGAACGCUAGCGGCAGGCCUAAUACAUGCGAGUCGAACGAGAUUAAGAGGCUUGCUUCUUAUGAAAGUGGCGCACGGGUGCGUAACGCGUAUGCAACCUACCUUAAUCAGGGGGAUAGCCCGAAGAAAUUCGGAUUAAGACCGCAUAAAAACACAGGAUAGCAUUAUCCAAUGUUCAAAUAUUUAUAGGAUUAAGAUGGGCAUGCGUGUCAUUAGCUAGUUGGCGGGGUAACGGCCCACCAAGGCGACGAUGACUAGGGGAUCUGAGAGGAUGACCCCCCACACUGGUACUGAGACACGGACCAGACUCCUACGGGAGGCAGCAGUAAGGAAUAUUGGUCAAUGGAGGGAACUCUGAACCAGCCAUGCCGCGUGCAGGAAGACAGCCCUCUGGGUCGUAAACUGCUUUUAGUCGGGAAUAAACCUUUCUACGUGUAGGAAGCUGAAUGUACCGAAGGAAUAAGGAUCGGCUAACUCCGUG
rnacentral:rRNA from 1 species